rnacentral:rRNA from 1 species
GACGAACGCUGGCGGCGUGCUUAACACAUGCAAGUCGAACGGAAAGGCCUCUUUCGGGGGGUACUCGAGUGGCGGACGGGUGAGUAACACGUGAGUAACCUGCCCUUGACUUUGGGAUAACUUCAGGAAACUGGGGCUAAUACCGGAUAGGAGCUCCUGCUGCAUGGUGGGGGUUGGAAAGUUUCGGCGGUUGGGGAUGGACUCGCGGCUUAUCAGCUUGUUGGUGGGGUAGUGGCUUACCAAGGCUUUGACGGGUAGCCGGCCUGAGAGGGUGACCGGCCACAUUGGGACUGAGAUACGGCCCAGACUCCUACGGGAGGCAGCAGUGGGGAAUAUUGCACAAUGGGUGGAAGCCUGAUGCAGCAACGCCGGGUGCGGGAUGACGGCCUUCGGGUUGUAAACCGCUUUCGCUCAUGACGAAGCUUUGUGUGACGGUAGUGGGUAAAGAAGCACCGGCUAACUACGUG